rnacentral:rRNA from 1 species
UACGGAAGGCAGCAGUGGGGAAUAUUGCACAAUGGGCGAAAGCCUGAUGCAGCUACGCCGCGUGUAUGAAGAAGGCCUUAGGGUUGUAAAGUACUUUCAUCGGGGAGGAAAAAACAAAACUAAUAAUUUUAUUUCUUGACGUUACCCGAAAAAGAAGCACCGGCUAACUCCGUGCCAGCAGCCGCGGUAAUACGGAGGGUGCUAGCGUUAAUCAGAAUUACUGGGCGUAAAGAGCACGUAGGUGGUUUUUUUAAAGUCAGAUGUGAAAUCCCUGGGCUUAACCUAGGAACUGCAUUUUGAAACUGAAAUACUAGAGUAUCGUAGAGGGAGGUAGAAUUCUAGGUGUAGCGGUGAAAUGCGUAGAUAUCUGGAGGAAUACCUGUGGCGAAAGCGGCCUCCUAAACGAAUACUGACACUGAGGGUGCGAAAGCGUGGGGAGCAAACAGGGAUUAGAUACC